UGUGCCUUGGAUCUCUAGCAUAUUUGUUCUGUUUUGGUUAAACAGUGCUGCACGCUUCUGUCAGUCUUCAACGUAUUGGACUUUACUGAGUGGCGAAACUUCCCCGACGUGAAAGAGUGUCUACAAAAUUUACAGGGCUUACAAAUGUCAGUGUUUAUCUUCGUAGUUGAUUGUUUCAAAUGUUCGAUGGAGACGAUGUGGUAGUCCUUUGGGGCAAGUGACUGUGAAAGUGGUUGUACGAUGUUGUGAGGAUGAAUCAGUUCUUAACUCUCAGUGGUGUGAGAAACUUUCUUUUAUUCCACUUACCUGGAUUGAGGACAAUCUCUGAGAGUAUCUUUUUAAUGUGACGAAGGAGUGGCAGACUGAAAGGUGAGUUUGUGGUGGUCCUUCAUAUUUCCCAUCAUUGUAAUAUUGUUGGGGUGUGUAACUUGCAAAGCAGCUGUAAAGGUG